rnacentral:rRNA from 1 species
AACAAAUAAUAGCUCAAACCACCAAAAAUCAAACUACCUCAACAAAACUAAAAUAAAACAUUUAUAACAAUUUAAAGUAUAGGUGAUAGAAAUUAUAUUUGACGCUAUAGAGAUAGUACCGUAAGGGAAAAACAAAAAACUAAAAGUGAAAAACAGCAAAGCUCAACCCUUGUACCUUUCGCAUAAUGAUUCAACCAGAGUAUUUUUAGCAAAAAGAAUUGAAGUUAAAUAACCCGAAACCAGACGAGCUACCUAAUAGCAGCCUAAAGGGCAAACUCAUUUAUGUGGCAAAAUAAUGAGGUGACUAUUUAGUAGUGGCGAUAAACCUACCGAGCCUGGUGAUAGCUGGUUGUCCAGAGAGGAAUUUCAGUUCCAACUUAAACUUACCAAAAAAAUAAAUAAAUCAAAUGUAUAUUUAAGUAAUAAUCCAAGGGGGUACAGCCCCUUGGAUACGGGAUACAACCCCUAUUAGAGAGUAAAAAAAAAUAAAACCACAAUAGUUGGCCUAAAAGCAGCCACCAAAUAAGAUAGCGUUCAAGCUCAACAGUAUGAAGAACUAAUCCAAAUUAUAUAUAAUCCACACUCCUAAUAUAAAAACUGGACCAUCCUACUGCCAAGUAGAAGUAAUAAUGUUGAUAUGAGUAACAAGAAAAUUUUUCUCCCAGCACAUGUGUAUAUCAGAACGAAUGAAUCACUGAUAGUUACCAAAACAGGCACUUAAUCACCAAAUUAAUUACCACUAUCAACUGUUAGCCCAACACAGGAGUGCAAUCAGGGAAAGAUUAAAAAAAGUAAAAGGAACUUGGCAAACACAAACCCCGCCUGUUUACCAAAAACAUCACCUCCAGCAUCAAAAGUAUUGGAGGCACUGCCUGCCCAGUGACCUAGUUUAACGGCCGCGGUAUCCUGACCGUGCAAAGGUAGCAUAAUCACUUGUUCUCUAAAUAAGGACUUGUAUGAAUGGCCCCACGAGGGUUUUACUGUCUCUUACUUUCAAUCAGUGAAAUUGACAUUCUCGUGAAGAGGCGAGAAUUAAAAAAUAAGACGAGAAGACCCUGUGGAGCUUUAAUUAACUAACUCAUAAAUUAUAACAGACUCAUCUACAAGAAACAACCCCAUAUUUAAAUGAGCUAGCAAUUUGGGUUGGGGUGACCUCGGAAUAAAAAAAAACUCCCGAGAACUAAAUAUCAAGACCAACAAGUCAAAGUUAUUCAAACCUACAGUGAUCCGCCAAAGACGAUCAACGAAACAAGUUACCCCAGGGAUAACAGCGCAAUCCUAUUUAAGAGUCCAUAUCGACAAUAUAGGGUUUACGACCUCGAUGUUGGAUCAGGACAUCCCAAUGGUGCAGCAGCUAUUAAUGUGUUCGUUUGUUCAACGAUUAAAGUCCUACGUGAUCUGAGUUCAGACCGGAGUAAUCCAGGUCGGUUUCUAUCUAUUUAUAAGUCCCUCCCAGUACGAAAGGAUAAGAGAGACAGGGCCCACUUAAAAUAAGCGCCCUAACAAAAAAGGAUGAACUAAUCUUAAUCCUAUUAUAUCCAAAAAUCCCCGAAAGAAGGGCUAA